UACAGAGGUCUCAAGCGUUGUUCGGAUUCAUUGGGCGUAAAGGGCGCGUAGGCGGCCGACCAAGUCGGAGGUGAAAUCCCUCGGCUCAACUGAGGAACUGCCUCCGAUACUGUUCGGCUUGAGUCCCGGAGAGGGUAGUGGAAUUCCGAGUGUAGCGGUGAAAUGCGUAGAUAUUGGGAGGAACACCAGUGGCGAAGGCGGCUCACUGGACCGGAACUGACGCUGAGGCGCGAAAGCGUGGGGAGCAAACAGG
rnacentral:rRNA from 1 species